rnacentral:rRNA from 1 species
AUUGAACGCUGGCGGCAGGCUUAACACAUGCAAGUCGAGCGGGGGAAGGUAGCUUGCUACCGGACCUAGCGGCGGACGGGUGAGUAAUGCUUAGGAAUCUGCCUAUUAGUGGGGGACAACAUCUCGAAAGGGAUGCUAAUACCGCAUACGUCCUACGGGAGAAAGCAGGGGAUCUUCGGACCUUGCGCUAAUAGAUGAGCCUAAGUCGGAUUAGCUAGUUGGUGGGGUAAAGGCCUACCAAGGCGACGAUCUGUAGCGGGUCUGAGAGGAUGAUCCGCCACACUGGGACUGAGACACGGCCGGGACUCCUACGGGAGGCAGUAGUGGGGAAUAUUGGACAAUGGGGGGAACCCUGAUCCAGCCAUGCCGCGUGUGUGAAGAAGGCCCUAUGGUUGUAAAGCACUUUAAGCGAGGAGGAGGCUACUCUAGUUAAUACCUAGGGAUAGUGGACGUUACUCGCAGAAUAAGCACCGGCUAACUCUGUGCCAGCAGCCGCCGUAA